ensembl:snRNA U2 U2 spliceosomal RNA
AUCACUUCUCAGCCUCUUGGCUAAGAUCAAGCGUAGUGUCUGUUCUUACCAGUUUAAUAAAUCUCACUGGGCAGUGAGGACACCGCCCUACCCGCACAGUCCCAGUUGGAGACCCCCU